GGGUGUCGAGCCUGCCGACGAACUUUGGUGAGAACGUUGUGGCGCGAAUUCUCGAUCCGAGCGCGCAGGUCCUGAGCCUGCCUUCGCUCGGCUUUGGGCCGGAUGUGGAGGCGGCGUUUUUGGAGGCGGCGAACAAGCCGUACGGAGUGAUCCUGGUGACCGGGCCGACUGGCAGCGGCAAAACGACGACGCUCUACACGGUGCUGCAGGAGGUUUCGAACGCCGACGUGACCACGUUUACGCUGGAAGAUCCGAUCGAAUACCGCAUGCCAAUGUUGCGGCAGACCCAGGUGCGGGAAGAGAUCGGCCUUACUUUCAGCUCGGGCUUGCGCGCCCUGUUGCGGCAGGACCCGGAUAUCAUCCUGGUUGGCGAAACGCGCGACACCGAAACGGCUCAGUUGAUGGUUCGCGCCGCGCUCACCGGUCACCUGGUCUUUUCGACCUUGCAUACGAACGAUUCCGCGGGUGCUGUCCCGCGUUUGAUCGACAUGGGAGUCGAGCCGUUUCUGCUCCCGGCGAGCCUGUUGUGCGUCCUUGCCCAACGUCUCGUUCGAACCCUCUGUCCGAAGUGCAAGGAGGAGAUGGACUCUCCAGAAAAAGUUUUUGACGGCCUGGGCGUGUCACCUCCCGCGGGCUUCUCGGUCCGGCUAUGGCGGAGCAAAGGUUGCCCGCAGUGCAAGGGCACCGGCUACCGGGGACGCCAGGGGGUUUUCGAAUUGAUGAUGCUGGACGAGCGAUUUCACGACCCCAUCGUGCGGCGAGCGGGCGCUCCGGAAUACAUCCGGCUGGCCCGGGAACGGGGCAUGCGAACGAUGUUCGAAGACGGCUUGCUCAAGUCGGUGCGGGGAAUCUCGACGAUCGAGGAACUGUUGCGGGUCACGCGCUUGACACCCACGUGAGCGCCCACCAGUAGAAGAUCACUCCGAUGCCUGUCUUUCGUUAUCAAGCCGCCGAUAAGCGCGGUCGGGCCGUCAAUGGCCAGAUGGCGGCUCAUGACGAAUCGAACCUUGAGGAAAAGCUACGGACCGCCGGGUUUUGGCUGCUCGAGGCGGCGACCGAACAGGCGCCCGCCCGCACCGCCAAAAAGGCCGAGGCGGACAUCGGUCGGCUGGCCAUGUCGGCAAAGCAACGGCGGCGCGCAUUGAUUGAAUUCUGCACCAUCAUGAGCUUCCAGUCCCGGGUCGGCAUCACGCUGAUGCAAGGGCUGGAGGUGGCCAGCCAGGACUGCGAUUUUCCGCCGUUUCGCCGGAUACUCUCCGGUCUGCAAUACCAGAUUGAGUCAGGUCGCCUUUUUUACGAGGCGCUGGAGAAAUAUCCCCGGGUGUUUUCGCCCCACUUCAUCUGCGUGAUGCGGGCCGGCGAGGUGAGUGGCAACCUGCCGGAUACUUUUGAGGACCUUCGCAAAUACAUGGAGUGGAUGGAUCAGAUCAUUGCGGACGUGCGCCAGGCCAGCCUUUACCCGCUGAUCGUCCUGACGGUGAUUCUGGGGUUCGUGCUGUUUUUGUUCACCUUCAUCAUUC
rnacentral:misc_RNA from 1 species